GGGCAGCAGGAAAAGGAAGCUGUAGUACCCCCUGGCUUCUGGCUGCAUUUCCUGAGCCAAAGAACUUGCUAGGAAAGCAGAAAGACAGAAACCUCCUCCAUUAAAAAAAAAUGUCCAUGCUUUACUGAAGAUGAAAGUGGCCCAGAAGACAAGCUGUCAUAGCCCUAAGAGAGGCUGGCUGAAAUAUUUUCCAUCCGUGCAGAACUUCGGAUCCCAAAUUGUCCAUCUCCCAAGAAAAGCUAAUCUUGCAAGAGCUCCAGCCCCUGAUCUACAAGGCUAAGAGGGUUGGAUGAGCUUCCAAUGAAAUGAACAGAAGUGCUAAAGGAAGAGAUUCAACAGCUUCAACAUAAAGCUCUGAAAAAAAGAGGAGGAAGGGGGAGUGUUUUCUCGUACAAACAGUGGAAGGACCAUGAACUCCCACUGAGGUUUUCCUAAACUUCAGAAUAAAUGAGACUUUCCUAAUACUUUUCCCAGUGCAAAUAAACAGACGGGGAGUCUGCGCCAUGUGGCUUGCACUGCCCGAUUCAUCACAGCAUCCCAACUGCAGGUUGCCCUCCAUCGUAAUCAGCGCUCAGCACUCAAGACUUUGUAUUUUGCAGCUGCCAUUAGCGAAGACAAGGGCGUUCUGCAUACUACAACUGCUUAUUGUGUGCACACUUGGCAAAGCGCCUGAUCCACCACUGAAUACCUCGGCGUGCCGGGCAGUAUAUUUUCUGCUUUUGUUUUUCCCCUCUCUUCCAUAUCCCCACCUUCCCCUUUUAUUUACCCAUUUUAUUUUGAAAAUGGUGACCGAACAGUCUGAUUUUGGCUGUUGCCAAGUGGACAAAAUGUUUAAAAACAAAAAAAGAGAGGAGCGUCUUGUUUUAAAGGGAGGGGAAUCACAAUUCUCUCUCAGAAGAGAAGGGUGCAAACAAGAGACAUACCCAUUUGCUUUAGCAACUGGCAUUCAAGUCCAUACUUGCAAGCUUCCCCACCCCCACCUCUCCCCCCGCCGCCCCCGCUUGUUUGUAUGCUGCCAAGGAAUGAGCUAUCAGCAUACACUUGUUUUGGGUUUGUUUUUUUUUUCUUUUCCUCUUUUAAAGCUUAAAAAAUAGAAAGGCGCAUUUUUAAAUUCCAACACACUCUGAAAAGCGAUGCUAAUUAACCAGCAAGAAAUUACCUCGCAGAUUGGAUGCCUUUGCAGAAGGUCCUCGAGAAGUUAUGCUCGCCUCCUAAAAAUGCUAGAUCGGUUAAUGUGUAUAUAUAUUUUUUAGUUUGCUACUUUGCCACAGUCAAAAAAUAAAAAGUGCCUGCCCCUCACCAUCACUAGAUUUCCAGCUGUGGUCCCCUUCAGGGCCAAGGCAGUGGAUACGAGUGAGAAUUUGCAAGAGGAGGUAUUGCAUGUGAAAGCAGGUCAUGUUUGUUUUUUUUAAAAAAAAGAAGGGUGGGGGGAGGAAUAGGAUCCCUGCAAUACCACUAGUAACAGCUAUGAGCAAAAAUGAAUAUAUUGGACUCUUUAUAGCCUGACACAGUUUUAGCUCCUGUACACAAGAUACUUUAUCCAUAUCCAAGGUUAAAAAUUCAAGACAUUGGAGGUAGCAGCAUCAGGCUAUUUUGCUUCUCAGUAAUACCGGCUUGUGGUUUUAAAGUUGGAAAGGGAGAAAGCUUUGUCACAGCUGAUUGUUCUUCCCGUCCCUACACACACACCCCCAACCCACCCACCCAAAACAAAACCCACGCAUCAACUCUUCGGGGGAGACGGCUGCUGCAUUUGCUUGAAACGGACCGUACACUAGGGUGCAGUAAAAUGUUUUAAAACUCUGCAUUAUGAGGGCUGCAGAAAAUGAUCAAAUAUUAUCAUGGGGGCUAAUUAAGUUCCAACGGUAGAACAACGAAGCCAAAGCGUAUUACCGUCCUCCUCUGUAGAGUCCCCCCCCCUUCCCCUGCCGUCCUCGUGUACUACAGGAACAUGAAUUAAGCUCUGAUGAAUGCGGUAUUAAUUAAUUACAUGAAGACAUUCAUGGAAGGGGUGGGAGGUAGUGGGGGCUUUGCGCUAUGCAAAUUAC